GCCAGUGUGGUGUGGUGGUUUGAGCAUUGGACUAUGAUUCUGGAGACCAGGAUUCAAAUCCCAGCUCAGCCA